UUGAUGCUCUGGGAAAGCUCCCAUUACGCAGGGCGCGCGUAGGCAGGGCUGACCUUCCCGCUUCCCAGCUCCCUGAGGCUGGGCGCUCAGCUGACGACGUAGUUCUUGUGCUCUUCCCGCCUCGCCUUUCUUUUCUUGGUUUCAAUCCCUGGUGUUGCAAGCCAAUUCCCGGGUCUUGUUAGGCGGGAAACACAGACUGUAUUACCCAUGUUUGAAACUGGAUUUGCGCGUUUGGGAAGCAAGAAUGGGGUUACUCUGCUGGAAAAGCUUGACAUUGCAAAUAAGGGAUUUUUACCCUACGGUUCCACAAGUUCCCACCAAGUAUCUGGUACGCGGAAGAGAGGGACAAGGAAGCACAGAGGCUCAGAACAGUUCGUUGUUCACCUCGUCUUUCUACCACAUAAUUCUGCCUCUAGAAAUACAGGAGAAAGAGUAGCCACGCAAAGCUUCUAGGAUUCUCCUGACAGUAUGGCACAUCUGUCUAGCACGUCAUGUUUCAGGGAAGCCUUUCCCAACGGUGUCAUGAGGCUAGCAGGGUGGGCAUUCUGUCCAUCAGCGAGCGAGCAGAUGGAGAGCCCAAGAGGAUGAGUGAAUUGCCGACACGCACGCCUGGUUCAGGAUCAGCAUCCAGGUCUCCUCAUUAAGUCCAAUGAGUUUUCAGCUCUGUCAUGCUGCCUCUUCUUCCCCAGAGGGCUUGGGAAACAUAAGCAACUGCCUACAGGAAAUAUGCUUCACCUUCCUCACAGACACGGCGUUCCAGAAGCAAACUCCAUGGAAACAGAACACAGAGGGUGUGUACAUGCGUGUCUUCUAGACCCACUCCAGUUCUCAUCAGAAGCUGAUGAGCCACCCCACAGUUCACGGUGGGUCAAACCUAAUCCGUAUCCUCUUCAAAAUAGGCCAGAAAAAUGGAAUCACUGGAUAUCAGAAGAGAAAGGGAACCACAGAGUCUUGCUAGUCUAAUGCCUUUAUUUUAAGGAUGAAGAAACAGCCUUUUGUUUUGUUUUUCAGAUUUAUUGAGAUAUAAUGUACAAAGUGGUAAGAUACUUAAAGUUACAACAUGAUUUUGAAACAACCUUGCCUUGUGAAAGGAC